GGAGGGGAGAGGGGGGGAGGGGGCGGGUGGGGAGAGAAGCAGCAGAGUCACUUCACCGACCAGACGCCGCGGCCACCGCCGACGCCGCCGCCAUUUUAACAGAGCGCUCGGGCUGCGCUCGGCUCUUUCCGCCCGGGCUUAGGAGCGGACGAGAGGCGCCUCGCGCUCUCAUUCCUCCGCCUCCCUCCCUUUCUCGCCUCUCCUCCGCCCCCCACCUCUCCCUCCGCACACACGCCGCACGCUCCACACCCCGCCGUGGCCGGCUCGCCGCCCUCCCUUUCCUCUUCCGUCCGGCCUCCCCGCCCUCGGUCCACCCCCUCCGCGCGCUCGCCCACCCCGCCCAGCCCGGAUCUCUGUCAGCGGCCGGAAGGGAAACGCGAAGCCAGCGCGGCCGCGGGGGGAGUCCGGGUGAGUAGGAGAAGAUGGCGGAGGCAACGGACGGGUCGCGGUUGCGUGGCGUCGCCCACCACGACCCACUCCACGGGCUCUGAGGCCCGGGGAGCGCCAGGUCACUCGCUCCGUCCUGUCCCCCGCCCCUGGGCUUCGCCAUUUUUCCCCAGGGCCUGGGUCGGGGAGUUGGUGCGGGUUUCUUUGGUGUCCCCGGCCUCUUCCGCGCUUAGGCUUUUGGGGUACGGGAAGCAAGGAGUCAACUUGGGUGCCGGGCCGGGUCUACGCCGUAGCCCUCUUUCGGGCGCAAGGGCCACUCCCCCCGGGGUCUGAGAGUGAAUCAGCCCAGGGCCCGGCUUAACUGCAUCGGUGAUUAUCGCUACCCUGCAGUUCCUUGAAGGUCCUCCGUCCUGGAGCAGUAAGAUCCUUGACGUAACUAGAAAUGGCAGGGUAAGGAGUGUUUGCCUGACAUCGUCUCGUUUUUACGGAAGAGGGCCCCUCACGAUGUGCCCAUCAGCCCCACCUGAAAUAGCAAGAAAUCUUCUUCAGCAGAGAGCGAAUAACAAGGAUAUUAAGAUAAAGAACAGGUGAAGGGGGCAGUCAGCUGAAGCUUGUAAGGGAAUUUUCCUCACGCCGGCACUUACCCCUUGCUUGCUAAUUUUUGUGUUCAACGUGUUUACAUAGACAUGUGACUGCAAAGUCCGAAAGAUCGUGUACAGAAUCUCUGAACGGUAACCAGAGUGUCUGUCAAGGCUCUGUAGUCAUUCUCUCGAUAGCUUUUGUGGAGGUUAUGGCACGCCCAUCUCUCCAUGCCAGAACCACCUGGUUCCAAAUGCUUUGCCUUUCUGCUGCUUGAAGUUGAUACUAUAAACAGUCUGCCCAACCCGUUUUGUUUCCCACUAGCAGGUGAUCCUUAGGAUUGUAGUUCUAUUCUACCAUCAUCUUCCCUUCUUCCUUGUCUUUCUCACAGAAUUGGGUUUUUGCAGACUUACUUUGGAUCCUGAGGCAGACAUUCGUUGUCCACUCAACAUACAUUCCCACGUAUCCCUUUUUUCCCUGCCAACACAACCCCAAUUAUUUUUAUUUGAAUUUUUUUUUUUUGAGACAAAGUCUCACUCUGUCGCCAAGGUUAGAGUGCAGUGGUGCGAUCACAGUUCACUACAGCCUCCACUUUAUGGGCUCAAGGGAUCCUCCCACUUCCCUAGUAGCUGGGGCUACAGGCGCUCUCCACCACACGUAACUAAUUGUUUUUUAUUUUUAGUAGGGACAGGGUCUUGCUAUGUUACCCAGGCUGGUCUCAAACUCCUGGCCUCAACUGAUCCUCCGGCCCAAAAUGUUAGGAUUACAGGUAUGAGCCAACGUGCUGGUCUCACGUUUUUUCAGGUAGCAGUUGAAACCAACCAUCAUGGUGAUCUGGCUUUUCUAGGGCUGGCCAUACAUAAUUGAGUUCCUCCUGAUAAAAGGUAAGCAACAAUCCUGAGAAACAUAGUGGGAGCCCUGUGUCUACAAAAAUUUAAAAGGUGGCUGGGCGCGUUGGCUCACUCCUGAAAUCCCGCACUUAGGGAGGCUGAGGUGAGCAAAUCACCUGAGGUCGGGAGCUCUAGACCGGCCUGACCAACAUGGACAAAGCUCAUCUCUGCUAAAAAUACAAAAUUAGGCAUGGUGGUGCAUGCCUGUAAUCCCAG
rnacentral:lncRNA from 1 species